ACUCAGAACUCCCUGGCGAGGAGAAGAAGAAGAAAAUAAGAAACUGCAAACCUGCUUUCCUGGGACUAACCUAAAUAGCUGUCUCUGGACCAAAGAAAAAAUUAAUUCACAUUUCAAGUAGAACCCAAUACAGUGGACAGUUUCCCAACGGGGCAAUUUUCAGAAGGUUGGAUGUGAACUCACAAAUUAAUCUGCCUUGAUUGUUGCUGAGGAUUCCGAGAGUUUAAAUUCACCCAUCUGGAAAUGCUCUGCUUUGAGCAAUGAACAUGCAAAAGAUCCAAAGCUCUGGGAAUAGACGUUAAAAAGCCCAGUUAAAAAAAACAUAGAACUAAAAUUCAGGAUAAAGAAGACCAAACGAAUGAACGAAUGAAGAAGCAAGCCUCAGAACUGACAAUGAGGAUAUCAAAUGGGUGGGAAAUUAUUAUACUGAGUAUUUAGGCAGAAAUGAGAUUAGUAGUAUGUCUGAGUGAGUGACGAGGAGGUCGACCUAUUCUCCAAAGCACCCGAAGGCAGGACAAGAAACAAUGGAUGGAAACUCAUCAAGGAGAGAAGCAACCUGGAAUUAAGGAGAAACUUCCCAACAGUGAGGACAAUCAACCAGUGGAGCAGAAGUUGCCUUCAGAAGUUUUGGGUGCUUCAAAAAGAGAGUGGACAACCAUUUGUCUGAAAUGGCAUAGGUUCUCCUUCUCGAGCAAGGGGUUGGACCAGAAGACCCCUAAGGUUCCUUUUAUUCUAUGUUCAGUAAGAACCGUCCCACCAAUCUCCAUGCUUCCAGGAGUUUGGGGGAUGAAAAUGAUGGCAAUGUAUUUCUGUUUUCAUUUUAAAUCUGAAUUUAACUCUUUUCAGGUUUGCUGUAAAUUCUUUGUCGGUAAACAGAAAGUCUUCUGAUCCUCUCGCCCACCGGCCGUAUCUCACUAUCCUCGACUGAGCUAAAAACUAUGAUGAAUACUUGGCCUGGAAACCACUAGAAAAUCCCAGAGCCCAAAUGGUGCACUUGGAAAGAAGAAAAAAAAAACAUUCCAAAAGAAAGCAGGUUUGUCCAAGUGCUGGACUCAAGGCUGAUUACAGGAUCCAAGGAUGGAAACAGGACAACUUUGGCAGCUGCCCAAGGCAAAGAAGGUUGAUUGCAGGGCUCUUUCUUGCUCUCACUAUUAGAAAACUCCUCCUUAGUUCUAGGUUGAUUCUCUCCUUGGUUAGUUUCCAUCUGUUGUUUCUUGUCUUUAAUGCCCUGGAGAUAAAGUGACAGAAAAAAGGAAAGCAGUUUGUUUCCCCACUGAAAAGCAAAGGAAAAAAAAAUAUGGCUACUUACAAUACAUUGAGAAGAGAAGAGAAGAGAAGAGAAGAGAAGAGAAGAGAAGAGAAGAGAGAAGAGAGAAGAGAAGAGAAGAGAAGAGAAGAAUUAUUUAUUGGCCAAGUAUGAUUGGACACACAAGAAAUUUGUCUCUGGUGCAUAAGCUCUCAGUGUACAUAAAGGAUAUAAAUGAUAAAUCA